rnacentral:rRNA from 1 species
CGAUGCGUAGGGGUUCUGAGAGGAAGGUCCCCCACAUUGGAACUGAGACACGGUCCAAACUCCUACGGGAGGCAGCAGUGAGGAAUAUUGGUCAAUGGCCGGAAGGCUGAACCAGCCAAGUCGCGUGAGGGAAUAAGGCCCUACGGGUCGUAAACCUCUUUUGCCAGGGAGCAAUGCCGUCCACGUGUGGACGGAAGGAGAGUACCUGGAGAAAAAGCAUCGGCUAACUCCGUGCCAGCAGCCGCGGUAAUACGGAGGAUGCGAGCGUUAUCCGGAUUUAUUGGGUUUAAAGGGUGCGUAGGCGGCCUGCCAAGUCAGCGGUAAAAUUGCGGGGCUCAACCCCGUACAGCCGUUGAAACUGCCGGGCUCGAGUGGGCGAGAAGUAUGCGGAAUGCGUGGUGUAGCGGUGAAAUGCAUAGAUAUCACGCAGAACCCCGAUUGCGAAGGCAGCAUACCGGCGCCCGACUGACGCUGAGGCACGAAAGUGCGGGGAUCAAACAGGAUUAGAUACCCUGGUAGUCCGCACAGUAAACGAUGAAUGCUAGCUGUCCGGGGGGAUUGACCCCUGG